rnacentral:tRNA from 1 species
GGUCCCGUAGCUCAACUGGAUAGAGCUUCUGCCUUCUAAGCAGACGGUUUCGGGUUCGAGUCCCGACGGGAUCA